rnacentral:rRNA from 2 species
GGUUUCCGUAGGUGAACCUGCGGAAGGAUCAUUACCGAGUGCGGGUCCUUUGGGCCCAACCUCCCAUCCGUGUCUAUUGUACCCUGUUGCUUCGGCGGGCCCGCCGCUUGUCGGCCGCCGGGGGGGCGCCUCUGCCCCCCGGGCCCGUGCCCGCCGGAGACCCCAACACGAACACUGUCUGAAAGCGUGCAGUCUGAGUUGAUUGAAUGCAAUCAGUUAAAACUUUCAACAAUGGAUCUCUUGGUUCCGGCAUCGAUGAAGAACGCAGCGAAAUGCGAUAACUAAUGUGAAUUGCAGAAUUCAGUGAAUCAUCGAGUCUUUGAACGCACAUUGCGCCCCCUGGUAUUCCGGGGGGCAUGCCUGUCCGAGCGUCAUUGCUGCCCUCAAGCCCGGCUUGUGUGUGGGGUCGCCGUCCCCCUCUCCGGGGGGACGGGCCCGAAAGGCAGCGGCGGCACCGCGUCCGAUCCUCGAGCGUAUGGGGCUUUGUCACAUGCUCUGUAGGAUUGGCCGGCGCCUGCCGACGUUUUCCAACCAUUCUUUCCAGGUUGACCUCGGAUCAGGUAGGGAUACCCGCUGAACUUAAGCAU